GCGUGUAUGUGAAGAGGAAGUGGAAAUUGAAUACCAGCAAACAGGCCCAUCCUCGCAAGCCGUCAAGAGCAGCAAUUGUAUGUAGUUUCUGCGACUGGAUCGAACGUGGCCUGACCAAAUGAUGUACGAAACUGGGGGUAACCGCAAGGGAGAAAGACUGGACAAAUUUCAUUACGUUCUCCUCAAGGGACAGCGAUUCGGAGUUGGAGUGGGAAUCAGGCUUGGAAUCGGAAUUGAAAUGUUUCCACCCGUUGUGAUUUUUUUGGUGUUUUUCAAGGGAGCUUCCGAAUAAUCCAUUCAAUGGCGAAGGAAGGCUUUUCCG
rnacentral:sRNA from 1 species